rnacentral:rRNA from 1 species
UAAACUAGCCAGUCUUUUGGGUAUGAAACCCAUUUGGGCGAGAGUAGUACUAUGAUGAGUGACCUCCUGGGAAGUCCUCGUGAAAGGGUUUC